CAUCCUCCCAGAGUGCAGCACGCCCUGUGGGCUCAACUUGAUUCCAAGGAACAGUAUGGGAAAGAGGAGAAAGAGGAGCUUCAUAGUAGAAAACCCAGCAGACACCACCUUACCCACAUAGUCGAGGCCAACAUGGCUGGGGCUGCAGAGCUCAGUGGUUUAAAAAAAAAUUAAAAAGGCCAAAGCCUGGAGAAGUGGCCCACACCUGUGAUCUCAGCUACGAGGGAGGCUGAGGCAGGAGGAUCACCAGUUGGAGUCCAACGUCAGCAACUUAGGGAGACCCUGUCUCAAAAUAAAAAAUAAAAAGGGCCGGGGAUGUGGCUCAGUGGUUAAGUGCUCCUGGGUUCAAUGCUCAGCACCACAAAAACACCAACAAAACCAGCUCACGUGGCAAGUCCCGGGCCAGCAUGUGCCCCCUGCCGAGAUGCGGUCUGUCUGUCCCCAAACCCCAUCACUCAGGUCUGGUCACGAGGAAAACAUCAGAUACCCUGACCUGAGGGCUCGUCGGCAAAACACUGACCAGAACUCCUCAAAAUGUACAAGGUCAGGAAAAGCAAGGAAGGACGGAGAAACUGUCACAGACCAGAGAGACAGACAGACAUGGCAGCCGGAAGCAACGAGGGCUCCGGGAGCAGAAAAGGGCAAACUGGGAACCCCCCCAGAGUCUGCAGCUGAGUUAGCGGUGGGGUGCGGAGGGGUCCUUAGCUGUGCCACAGGGACCCCGUCCUGGGAGGCAUUUCCAGGGGAGGGUUGUGAGGGGGUGGAUGGGACCCCUCCCCUUGCAAUUUCCCC
rnacentral:lncRNA from 1 species